rnacentral:lncRNA from 1 species
AGCUGGUAUUGGUUACUACCUACUUCUACUACCCAUUCUGUAUUCCUGUUGCCUUCAGCAAGCACCUAAACAGUAUGUGUAUAUAUGUGUAUAUAUAUACACACAUUUUUUUUUUUUUUUUUUUUUGCCAGGUGGAGUGACCCAACUCUUCAUUCCUGACGGGUCUGGACCAUUUGCAGUCCUGCCUGAAUUGGGCUGUUGUAGUUUCCCAUUGACCUUAAUCACAGGACUUGGUAAUACUAAGAGACACCCUAAUGAAUCCUCUGUAUUCCAUGCAUAUUCUUCCUUACCUCAGUUGUGGAGUAGUAGACUGAUUUCAUGUUGAUAGUCCUGGUCCAUCACCCCAGCCAACACUGCAACUCCCUUCUUAGCCUAUUGACUUAAAGAUAGGAGGAGCCCCAGGUGUCCAGGUGGCAACCUUAACCUACAGUUUAAUGGAUUCAUUUUUAUGUCUCCUGGUGGCAGUUUUCUCCCUCUGGAACUAAGACCUCUAGGCCAGCAGAAAAUAAUGUCAUGGGAACAAGAAACAAAAAUUUUGCUAGUGGAUCACAAUGCCUUCACUUUAAGGGGUGAUGGUGAGUGGUGCCACUUCCACUUCCACCCUUUGAUUCCUGGACCCAUGAAUCCUGGUUAUGGGAGAAACAAUACCAUAUAUUGGAAGCUGAUUCAGAGCAUACACAGACUUCUGGAGAAAUUUGCCUCAGCCCUGAAAAGUAUUGUCACCUGGUAGGCUUUGUAAUUGUCACUUCAGAAGGCCAUUCCACCGUUCCUUCAAUCCAGCUGCUUCACGAUGAUGGGGAACAUGGUAGCAGCAGCUCCAAUGGCUUCUAUGGGGGUUCUGCAAGCUGCAAAAUGUGUCUAUGCCAAUUACGCAUUGUGGCACUGGGGGAAUGACCACAAGAUGAGUCUGGGGAUCCGCUGGACUCACCGGUUGAGAGAAGAAACACUUAUGAAAAUAUUGUACAUAAAAAUCUCUCUACAACAGUCUACCUAUGUUCAGUAUGGUUACAUGUUCACAUCUCUGACUGCAAUCAAUAUAUGGAUAAUUAUCACUUUACCAAAGACCAUAUUCAAACAUUUGCUUGAUUAUUCUUUCUUCAAUAUGACUACUGUUCAAUAUGCUCUCAAUUGAAACAUCCCACACAUAGUUA